ACCAGACUCCUACGGGAGGCAGCAGUGAGGAAUAUUGGUCAAUGGGCUUACGCCUGAACCAGCCAAGUCGCGUGAGGGAAUAAGGCCCUACGGGUCGUAAACCUCUUUUGCCGGGGAGCAAGGGCGGGGACGUGUCCCGGCCCGGAGAGUACCCGGAGAAAAAGCAUCGGCUAACUCCGUGCCAGCAGCCGCGGUAAUACGUAGGGGGCAAGCGUUAUCCGGAUUUACUGGGUGUAAAGGGAGCGUAGGUGGCAGGGCAAGUCAGAUGUGAAAACCCGGGGCUCAACUCCGGGAUUGCAUUUGAAACUGUCCGGCUGGAGUGCAGGAGAGGUAAGUGGAAUUCCUGGUGUAGCGGUGAAAUGCAUAGAUAUCGCGCAGAACUCCGAUUGCGAAGGCAGCAUACCGGCGCCCAACUGACGCUGAAGCACGAAAGCGUGGGUAUCGAACAGGAUUAGAUACCCCAGUA
rnacentral:rRNA from 1 species